UUGGAAAAGGUUGAGUGUGUAUUUUCUUUGAUUUUACUUUAGCUCCUGUCCGUUUGCUCCUACUCACAGGAAAAUAAAAAAAUGAUGGUCAGAUAAUUUAUGUGCCACAGAAACAGGAGAAACAAAGAAUACAGAUAUACUCAAUGAAAAAAAAAUUUUUUUCUUCAUGAUCAUGUUCAGCAGCUGUUUCUUCAUCAAGCUGGAGGAAAAGUGCCACCUAGUGGUUACAUUGAACACUACAAAACAAGUCUGAACAUUCUGAACUGAAUUAUGAACACCUCAGACAACUUUCAAGUAGUUCAGACAAGUUUAAUUUCACUGAUUAAAAGAUCACAUAUAAAAAGCCUGGGAAUAACUAUGAAAGCUAGAGAGUAUCAAAGUGUUUUUAGUAAAAAUGUGGAGAUAAGAGCAGCUACAGCACAGCAAACAACAGUACUGAGGAUCUAAACAGAAAACAACAGAAGUAAGAGUAAAAAACAGUAUCAUGAGGCAGAGCACAGAGGCAAUUAAAAGGGUGGACAGGGGUCUGAAAUCACUAUAUAGUCCACCGCACAGUAAACACACAAUUUAAUAAUGCUGUAUGAAGCCUGAGUGAAAAUAUAUGUGCACAAGUAGACUCAUUGUAUCUUAAAAUGCAUUGUGAAAGUUAGUCCACAAGCAAUCAAACAAUGGUAACUGAUUAGGCACUCGUUCCUACUCAUGCAUUGCGGUGUGAAUAGAACAACAGUCUGAUGAUAUACAUAUAUAUAUAUAUUUUUUUUUUAAUUUUUAUUUUUUUUUUUUAUUUAAAGGCAUUUCACAUAAACUGUUGGACAUUUCACCAAUGAUUUAAAGCAUCAUAUUUAGUUGACAAAAAGACAUAAAAACCAAACUGACUUAGUUUUAAUGUGCGACAGCAAUUAUGUCAUUAUUCAUUGCCCAAGGAAACGGCAGAAGAAGUGUCUCUUUUGCUCACUACUGAGCCCACUAUACAGACAGCUACAUUAAUCUCACAGAGUUUUCUGUCUCCCUUAAAGCCAAAGGCUGUAGAGCUCCAUAUGCUGACUGGCUGCAGUAUGGAUCAGAAAUCCUACUGCUGUAAUGUCACCAGACUGACCUGAGGUCAAAGUGGAAAAAUAGAAUACACAUAAUAUUUUGGAAAACAUGGUUUUCGUCAUUUAAGUUAGCUUUUAUGCAGGCUCAUGCAACAUCCUGUACUGCAUAAACAGAGUGGGGGAGGAAAGACACUUAACUUACACUAACAUGAGAGUCACUGAUUUAUCCAAAACUCUGCUGUGGAUUGUACGGACCAGUUUUAUUGAUGAGUUUUGGUAAGACCUGCCAGAGAGCCUCAGUCCCGCAUUACUGACAUCCUUCAAUGCUGCACAUGCUUUGGUUUGGGCACAAAUGUCGGUGUUGAUAGAGUUGAUCUUUUAGCCUUAAAAACUACAACAGACAGAAAUGAAGUAACAAAGUUAGUCCUCUACCAUGACUGAUCAUAAAUCAAACAUCAUCAAUACAUUCAAUGAAUUGCUUGAUGUGUAGGUGUCCUUGGAAGAGCUAGGUCUUAAGAUUUCUCUUACAAGUGAGAGAAACUUCACUCAAAAUUACAUGCUUGAGUUUUGGGGGCUGUGAGAAUACAGGAUUUUCACCCCACAAUUAUCAUCACAAGAACAAUAUAAUCUCAACAGUUAUGGAGGAGUUGAGAGUUAAACACAAUUAGUCAAACUGAGGGAUGGCAAAACAAGGAUGGUGCAACAUAAUAUAUAUAUAUAUACAUUAAUAUUACAAGUCCAUGUACUAUCUUAAAUGUCAUCUUCCAUUUCUAAUGAUGUUCAGAUUUAUUAUUUAUCCACACUACCUGGCCUUGCAAAAUGACGAUCGUUCUGCAUACUUUUAUUUUGAUAUUUUUUCUUAUAUUAGGGUUGCUUUACUUCUUUACUUAGUGUGGACUAUUACCAGUUUAAAUAACCAAAGUGAAUAGAUCAGUAAUCUAAAGGAGCGCAAACUUGAACCUUCUUUUUUGGGGGGGAUUAAGAAUUAAUCACUGAAUUAGAGUAAAUUAGAGUAAAAGACCACAACAAUAAACUCACGGUAUAACUGUGUGCUUAUUUUCAGCAUGAUAUUGAUAUCGUCAAUAUACCAGAAACAAAAAAUUCUUUAUGAGAGUCAGUAGGUAAAACAAAUACAACCCCCCCCCUUAAUCCAAUUUACUUUCACUGCUAUGACUGCUUUAUUUUGGGGGUUUUGCUGCAGGAUGGGAUUUUCUGAGUUACUUGAAAAAGACACAGAGCUUUAUCAUCACAGUGAAAAUACAGUGAGCUCUUGCCGUGAACCAUAAAAGUAUAUUAAAACCUUAUUGUCAACAAAAAUUAAUAUUUUAAUUUCAUGCACAGGUUUUAUUAAUCACAUCCACCCUCAUGGGGGAGGAGGUGAGAGUCAAACUGAGAGCCUUACCUGAGCUGUAGGAUUAUUAACCCAAACUCUAAUCCCUCAAAGCAGCCUCAAUCCUCGGAUUUGUGAGCAGGUUCAUGUCCCCGCUGUGAACCAGACUCUGAUAGUACACAUCUCUACAGCUGCAAUGAUGUGCAGAAGCUGAAGGUUUGCAUACAUCCUUUUAGUAUCAAACUGUGAGGUCAGUACGGGGUAGGCGGGGUGAGUUUAAACAGCUAGAGUGAGUCAUGCUGAGACGAAUCUAUUAAAAUAAUCUUACUCAUCAUAGAAGGUAUGUCACAAAGUCUAGAUAGUGUACGUUUACCAUUUAUACCUCUUCUCUGUUUAUGGCUCUUCUUGUUUACUGUGCUUUACUUAUUUUAAACAACAGAUCAUCUGCACAAGUAAAACUCCAUGCAAAUCCAAUUAUGACACAAGAAUCACAUAAAGUUGUAGCAAACUGACAGCAACAGUAACAUAAACCGUAAUCAUUUACAACAGUAGAGCGACUGUAAUAGUUUCCAGUUGCUGAAGUGAUAACAAUGUAUUAAAUGGGCUAAGAAGGACCAUUGUAUGUACAUUUUAUCACUUCCAAUUCAUAAGGUCCCUAUUCAACUCUUUAUUGAAAUAUAUUUUAGUUGCAGUCAUAGACUGUCAAUCAAAAAUGGCAUAAAUAUCCAUCUGACUUAAGAUCAAGAAAUCUAGAGGUCCCCCUGCUGACUGGCUGGCUGAGUAAUCAAAUCAUGGUACUCAUCAAAUAAGUGUUUCUCAAACAUGGUUUCUGCCAUUAAAGGUGGUUCUGAUUCAUGUCCAAGUUAAAUUUUCUUCUACAAAUCAACACAGGAACGUUCUGCUGUGGACUGAACUGACCUGAGGAGUUUUAAAGGUUCAAUCAGUGAUUUUAUGUCAGUCCUGUUAUGUCAUCAUGGUUCUUGCACAAUUUGAAAAAUUAAAUUUAAGUUUUUUUUUGUUUUUUUUUUCAAUCUUUUCAGAGCUUGAUAAAUAAAAUCUAAAAUGUCAAAAGCAUUAGAAUUUUGUUGAUAGCGGCGAGGUCUCUGGUGAUUUCUGUAUUUACCUCACAUUGAAGCCACUCAGAAGCUAUUCUUUUCUUCAGAUUUUAACAACCUGUAUCUUGGCUCAUCCUCACUGCUCUCUGUGUUCCUGUUGUGAGAGCUCAUCAAACUUCAAGUUAAUGUUAGGCCCACUGAUUGGCAGACAGUCUACACUGAUCAGUUCGACUCCUGAAAGUUUAUUUACAAAUAAGUUACUUUCCCCUGACUCAAUUGAUUUCUGCUACUGUGUCAGCUCUGUUCUUGGCUCCUCAGUUACCCUCUGAGAAUAUGUAUAUUUUGUGUAAUUAAUUUCUAAAGUUUGUCCACAACUCCAUAGGAAUUGCUGGAGGAGGCAGGAUUUAUGACCUUUACUGCAGCCCGUCACCAGAAGGUGCUGUUCUCAAGUGGCUUCACCCAGCGAGGAGGCAGUCGGCGUCCAUUCUAUAUACAGUCUAUGGUGAUAACUCAAGAGGCAUUCUAAAAUCAGAGCUUUCUCUCCUCCGGAGUCUCAUGUACACCACGACCAAGGCAGUCCGGAGCAGACAAGUUUGAACCUCUAACACAGGCGUUGAGUUCUGAGACGGUUGAGGCUGAGGAUGGAGAGGCUGGAGUGGAUUUGAAACUUACAGUUAAAACAUUUUCAUUUAGCAGGCAAUGAAAAUAGUCCGAGCAAGUGGACACCGCAGUUAUGUGACAUAACAACACCAUAGGCAAUUAGGCUAAUGCCACCUUAACUUGGCCAGCGUAAUAUGCCAGAGCUAAUGUCCAUUAACAUUAGCCAAGUGGUGACAUUAUUUGAAGUGCCUUUUACCAUGAUAUUCUUUAUACACUCACUUUAGGAUUGACCCUUCAUCCUGUUGUAAUUACUCGGAGAGCAACUUCUAACGCUGCAUUAGUUUUCAGUUUAGCAAAUUGAGGAGAAUGGAGCUUGUAUUUUUCCCAUUUCUAUUCCUUUUACUCUGCUAGAAACACCCUUAUUUUAAAGAAUAAUUUUAAGAAUGGAAACAGAUGGGAAAAUUUUACAAAUCUGCCUCAAACUAAUCCAACUUCUGAGGCUCAUAAAUUCAGCUGACAGAGUGAGCUUUGAUCUUUUCAGACCGGAGGAGACGCUGAAAAGACAAAAAAAUUACCAAACAAAUCGAACCUGAAACUACAGAGCUCUGCAGGUUGAAAAAGAAAGGGGGCAGAUACAAUUCCACAUGCACAGUUUAUAACCUGUACCCAUGGAUUUACAACCCACGAAUUGGUACUCCCAGCACAUGGACUUCAGAUGUGUACUCACAUAUUUUCCAUGAUGGUGUCAUUCUCCAUGUAUCUACUGGCUAGCCAGUAAAUCAGUUUUUUUUUGUUUGUUUGUUUGUUUUAUUUGCAACAUGUUUUCUGUCACUGCAUUUGUUCAGAAAUGUGUGCUUCUGAAUUUACAAUUUUUUUUUUUUUCUGUUCAGGUUGUUGCAGCCUUGUCAGCUGUAGUUUAGAACAUGAUACGACAGAAAUCUCUUUGUAAACACCAACAACUUCUCAGAUGAUGAUCAAUUAAAAUGAGUCAAAAAGAAAGGAUGCCACAGACUGAUUAAUCACUUUAAGUUGUUCAGACUGAAAAUAUUGUAUUGGAUGCUGGUUGUCAAGCAUGCCGGCUCAUUAAGUUGACUGUUACAGCUGUGUUCCCAGAAGAUGGAGAGAGUGUGAGACGAGUUUAAUUAGUGAAGCAGCAGCAGACGGCCUCACAGUCAGGUGUCUGUCAUCAGCACUGAGCAGACUGACAGACAGGCCCGCUUAUAUUAAGAUGCCACACACCAUCUGCUUCAAAGACUGAUGUCUUUACUGUCUCUCUCUCCUGCUGAUUUACUACAUGAAGUGAUCAAACCUGAAUUUUAGGAACACAGAUAAAGACCCAGAGGAGGAAGGGAGACAGAGAGAGAGAGAGAGAGAGAGAGGUGGUCAGACUGCUGAUGAUGGUCAGACUGAGCCUCCUCUUCCUCCUCUUACAUGAACACAAGUGGAGCUUGUUACUCGAGUGGCACAGUGACGAGAUGAAUCUCGACAGCUCAGGAGGAACCUCAAAGGACAAACACGUCAAUGAGAGUGAUGCCUCAGUCCAAUCUCAAAGUGAGGAUGAGGAGGGAGGAAGAGGAGGUUAGGUACUUUGUGUAACAGGUGAAAAAUAAAAGUGCUCUGAGCACAAAAAAAACAACAAAACUGUGUUUUGGAAAUAACUUGUGCUUUAAUAAUAAUCAACAAAGGAUCUCAAGUGAAUCUGUCAUCUUUGUAUUAUAUUGCAAGCUCAGUAGACAUAGUAACAGAGAGUGUGCUAACAGUCUAAGCUACCAAGUCUCUCUGAGGCAGUCUCAGUGAGUACACACUUAUGACAAGAUAAGGAACAACCUCCAUAUUUGGUGUGUCAAAAACACAGAAACAGGAUGCAGGUGGAUUCACACAGCAACAUGCACUAGAGUCUAGUGCAUGUUGCUGUGUGAAUCUAGUGACUAGACAAUACCUCAUGAAGUAAACUUAUGGUUGGUCUUGAAAAAAUAAAAUAAAAUAAAAUAACAGGACGAUGCAAACGGUACAAAACUACUUAAAUGUGAAUUAUAAGUCAUGUGGUUAAAUGUGGUUAAUACUCCCUACAAUGAACAGAAAGGCAUGAGGAUAGAGCAAAGGCAAGCCAAACUCAUCCCGUCGCCCUAGAGCAGACGGGGCAAGUAAGGAUAGGACAAAAGGUAAAAUUAAGUUCAUCACGAAGCACAUCUGCAAAAAAACUAUUUUUCCAUUUCACCUGUACUGUAGGGUGGGGAUAUAACUAUGUUUUCAUAUGAUCCAUAUUUGAAUAUGCUCACAAUGCUUGCACAAAUGGCAGAUGGCCUCUCUUAACAGUACAAAGUUUUGCUAUAUUUGGAUCUAGAAAAUGAUGACAAAACUGUACACAGUAUGGGCUGUAUGUAGUUAAACAGGUGUAUAAGCACUUAACCAAAGCAACAAGGAACCAGCACAGGCAUGUGGGCUUCAACCAAGAGGCAACUUCUGGUCUUAGGGAGGUUGGGCUCAUGUGGUAGUGCUAAACUGUACUCCCUGAGUCACGCUUGAGGCUGCUCGCAGGAGCACUAGGAAUCUUAUACACACUAAAGCCUAAAACCUACAGGACCCAUGUAGGGCGCGUUCUGUCAGUGUCACCUGCUAUGCAGUAAUUACCUUUCUAUUCUAAUCAAUGCAGCAUUUCAAAGAAGGAAGGAUUGCAGGAAGAACAUAAAGCUGGUGGUGCUCACUCUGCUAGUGUUUGCCACAUCUGACAGUUUGGUGAUUUAUACCCUAUGGUCUUUUAGGUGUGUCAAAUAAACUGUGUUUAAAUUUGGCUGUUUUUUUGAGCGUUUUCUAACCCUUGGACUAGACAGUUAGACUAUACAUUUCUGUUGAAAAAAAUAAGAAAUUGCUUCAUAAUUUCCUAGAUAUGACAGAUUGAAAAACCAUAACACCACCAGAGACUGCUUCACUUGAAUGGUUUCAGACUGAACCACAGACUGUGUAUUCUAUGGACAACUUGGCUCUGCCUUCCCUCAUUAUACGAAUUUGAAGCCGAAUUGCUUUCUGUAUUUCCAGGAUUUUCUCCACUUCCUGGAACCACUGCUUGCGCAGUAGCAUUGUAUGCAUUCAGCAGGAGAGUCGCUGUGAUGACGCUGUGAUGAUGCUGUGCUUAAACAGCAUAUCCCUCGGGUGAGCUACGCAAUCUUCGUACACCCAUAGGCUGUAUCAAGUGUCAAUCAUAAAAAACAUGAACCCCUUAAUAACUGUUAAAAAUGGAGCUGCACAGAAAAAAAGAGGACUUGAGCACAAACCAGUCUGACAGUAACUACAUAUCUACAUCACAACCAGGGGGGAGAAAAAUUUAUAUUCUGUGUAAUACAUUUCUAAAAUUUGUCCACAGCUCCAUAGCGAUUGCUGGAGGAGGCGGGAUUUAUGAUCUAUACUGCAGCCCGUCACCAGAGGGUGCUGUUUUUGAGGUGGUUUCACCCAGCGAGGAGGCAGACGGCGUCCAUUCUAUGUACAGUCUAUGGACUGAACAUUUCUUUUAAUAUUCUUUUUAAUAAUUAAUGAGUGGGGCCAACAAUUCAAAAUGACUGAAAAUAGGUGCUUGUUGACUUGAUGAAAAUAUGUUUCCUUUGAGUCAUAUUUUCUCCCACAGUUUUUGACUUGGACUGUCAAUAGUUUGACUCAGGUGUGAUUAUAACAUUCAGCUCUGGCAGCUUUUUAAUUCUCUUCACAGAGAAAAUCAGAGUGCAAAGUGAUGAUGUGAGAUGUGAAGGUGACAUUUCUCUGUCAAACUGGCAGCUGGCUCAACACGCAGAUGAGUCCACUUAGAGCUGUAUCUGAUUAAACAUGAGUUUUUAAUCAGACAAACUGAUCCAGCUGCACAAGAGCAGCUCUCUGUCCAUCAUUUUAACUGGUAAAUUAAUUAAAACCAUUGAGUAAAUUAAACUGACUCUCAGAAAUCCUCGUGAAUUAAUAAGAAUCAAAGAAGAAAACAUGUCUUUACAGGUCAGCUCCUUUUAAUCAUGAAGAUUAAUUAGAUCUUUUAUAAUGAACACAGGUCUCCUGGUGGACAAUGGGGUUUCAUUUGGAGAAAUCAGAUGAUUAGCAAAACAGGCAGCUCUCACAGGGACUGAAGAUAGAACCUCUGAAUUUCAGGCUACUGCUCUGUGUAUUGGGAACAUGCAGAGGGGAAAUUACAGAAGAGAUCCUUAUGAGCAAAAAUUUGAAAAGGCAGACAAAUUCUUUAAUAAUGCAUACCCGAAAAUCUGGGCCUGAUCCUGCGUGGCAAUGUGAGACUGAUUGCUGUUUAAGCAAUAAAAAAAGGCAGAAACAAACACUGCCUGUGAGCUUUGCAGUAGCUCUUGAGAGCAGGGAGACUGCAUACAACUCC
rnacentral:lncRNA from 1 species